CUCAUACAGCAUGGUGCGUACACCAUUAAAGGCAGAAUGGGAAAGUUCGAAGCUGAGAAGAAGCUCUGGCACCAAAUGUAGCCUUAACUGCGGCACCUUUUCAGGUGGAACUGGAAAAGAUUUGAAAUGAAAAGGGCGAUCAUUUAUGGCCUCAGAGCAACAUGUUCCAACAAGUGGAUUCCUCAAAAAAGCAGUUUGAAGGCUGACCUUCAGCGUCCUCCAUCAGAUUUGGGCCUCAGUAGUGAUCACGAGCUAACAGUGCAGGCCUUAAGAUCCUGCCUUUAAAGGCUUUUUACUGCUAGCAGCAAAGUGCAUUUUAGCACUGCAUUCACCUCCACACAGCAGUCAGGCCUGUCAGAAAGGCUUAUUUCCCACCUCUUAUCCACUUCAUGGCCUUUCCUUUUCUGGAAAUCCUUCCCUGAUGAAGGUAGAGUGGGGGACAAAAUGUAGUGGCAUUGUUGCUUUUUUUAUUUUUUAUUUUUAGGAAUCACCUGCGGUGCACUUUAAUGCUUAUGCAAAACCCUCUUGAUAAAGCAGCUGUGGGUGCUCGCUGGUGGCUUUGAUGACUUUAAUUAAUGGCAUGCAGCAUUUAGGAAAUGAAAAAGAAAAAAAAAACUGCUUCGGAGGCCAGGCCUAUGAAGAGCCUCAUCCACGACCCCCAUUGAUUAAUGAAGUCACACUUAGUCAUCCUCAUUAUCUCUGCUUCUGAUAAAAGGCAACGCCGCUGCCAAGCCAACUGCAUACAGAGGAACUCUCUCAGGACAUUUAAGGUUAAGCUACUUAGGUCACACAAUCAGAACUCUUUCAUUUCUCUAUGCAGCCAUGUUUGCACACUACGGGGCAGAUUUACUAACGUUUUGUGCCUUUGCGAGACCCCAUUAUGUCAUUAAAAAGUUUACUAAAUAGGCGCAAGGGCACUUUAGCAUCAGUGAAAAGACCAGCGGUCCAAAGGUCACUGCUCUUUUGUGCUUUGGCCUCAUUGCAUAUGCAUUUCUAGGAGUUAGUAAAUACUGACUGAGCUAUUUAACGCCCGUCUUAUUUUUAGCACUAACAUGGCUACAAUUGUUGGUGCUCAGAGUGAAGAGACAGACAUCCUCUGUUAUUUUUCAAUGGAAAAAAAAACACUUGUAUCCUCAAUGUAAUAAAAGAAAUGGAAACCAAAUA